GAGGGGGAUAACACUUGAAACAGGUGCUAAUACCGCAUAACCAUAGUUACCGCAUGGUAACUAUGUAAAAGGUGGCUAUGCUACCGCUUUUGGAUGGGCCCGCGGCGCAUUAGCUAGUUGGUGGGGUAAAGGCUUACCAAGGCAAUGAUGCGUAGCCGAACUGAGAGGUUGAUCGGCCACAUUGGGACUGAGACACGGCCCAAACUCCUACGGGAGGCAGCAGUAGGGAAUCUUCCACAAUGGGCGAAAGCCUGAUGGAGCAACGCCGCGUGGGUGAAGAAGGUCUUCGGAUCGUAAAACCCUGUUGUUAGAGAAGAAAGUGCGUGAGAGUAACUGUUCACGUUUCGACGGUAUCUAACCAGAAAGCCACGGCUAACUACGUGCCAGCAGCCGCGGUAAUACGUAGGUGGCAAGCGUUAUCCGGAUUUAUUGGGCGUAAAGGGAACGCAGGCGGUCUUUUAAGUCUGAUGUGAAAGCCUUCGGCUUAACCGGAGUAGUGCAUUGGAAACUGGGAGACUUGAGUGCAGAAGAGGAGAGUGGAACUCCAUGUGUAGCGAUGAAAUGCGUAGAUAUAUGGAAGAACACCAGUGGCGAAAGCGGCUCUCUGGUCUGUAACUGACGCUGAGGUUCGAAAGCGUGGGUAGCAAACAGGAUUAGAUACCCUGGUAGUCCACGCCGUAAACGAUGAAUGCUAAGUGUUGGAGGGUUUCCGCCCUUCAGUGCUGCAG
rnacentral:rRNA from 1 species